rnacentral:rRNA from 1 species
AGCAGCCGCGGUAAUUCCAGCUCCGAUAGCGUAUAUUAAAGUUGUUGCAGUUAAAAAGCUCGUAGUUGAAUUUCGGGGUUAGUAGGUUGGUCAUGCCUCUGGUAUGUACUGGUCUCACUGAUUCCUCCUUCCUGAUGAGCCGUAAUGCCAUUAAUUUGGUGUUGCGGGGAAUUUGGACUGUUACUUUGAAAAAAUUAGAAGUGUUUAAAGCAAGCUAACGCUUGAAUACAUUAGCAUGGAAUAAUGAAAUAGGACGUUCGAUCCUAUUUUGUUGGUUUUUAGGAUUGACGUAAUGAUUAAUAGGGAUAGUUGGGGGCAUUAAUAUUCAAUUGUCAGAGGUGAAAUUCUUGGAUUUAUUGAAGACUAACUACUGCGAAAGCAUUUGCCAAGGAUGUUUUCAUUAAUCAAGAACGAAAGUUAGGGGAUCGAAGACGAUCAGAUACCGUCGUAGUCUUAACCAUAAACUAUGCCGACUAGGGAUCGGAUGAUGUUAAUUUUUUAAUGACUCAUUCGGCGCCUUACGGG